rnacentral:tRNA from 1 species
GUCUCAGUAGCACAGUGGUUAGUGUACAGCCCCGGAUAGGUUGAAACGCGGGUUCGUCUCCCGCCUGAGAUA